rnacentral:rRNA from 1 species
GGAGAGUGCAAGCGUUGUUCGGAAUUACUGGGGCUUAAAGCGCAUGUAGGCGGGGACGACAAGUGUCGGGGUGAAAGCCCCGGGGCUCAACUCGGGAUGUGCCCGGCAAACUGUCGUCCCUUGAGGCAGGUAGAGGUGAUCGGAACAACUGGUGGAGCGGUGAAAUGCGUAGAUAUCAGUUGGAACGCCGGCGGCGAAAGCGGGUCACUGGACCUGUCCUGACGCUGAGAUGCGAAAGCGUGGGUAGCGAACGGGAUUAGAUACCCCGGUAGUCCACGCCGUAAACGAUGCGCACUAGGUAUGGGAGGUUUUGACGCCGACCGUGCCGAAGCAAAAGUGGUAAGUGCGCCGCCUGGGGAGUACGGCCGCAAGGCUA